CCUUUAUGACUUCAUCACUGUCAUUUGUCAGAGCACAGCACUGAAUCAGGGUGAUAUUAUUAUGUUUCCCUUUCAGUCUUGCUCUCAUAAGUCUGCUACUUUGGAUUUCCAUUCAAGCAGGUGUGACAAGAUGGCCGAUGUUAGUAUGACAGGAGAAAGACAUUAACUUGUGUGAAAUGGUGGCUUCCAGCAGAAGGUUUUACAUCCUGCCCAAUAAAGAAGGCCCAUCAAUACCAGACAAACUAUUGUGGAAUCUUAAAGUGGACAAAAGACUUCACUGAUUUGCUCUUCCCUCUCUUCUGGAGAUGAAUCUUGCAAGUGAAUUCCUCUCAUCAGGAUUGUGUCCUGCCCUUAUGACACUGUGCAGCAGCAUCACAACGCUGGUCUCAGCACACAGAGAAGAGCAACUCCCAUUGGCCUGCUAUUCUUACUCAUGCAGGUUUGAACUGGGAGUCAGAUGACAGCACAGCACAUUCUUCUUGCUAAUUUAAUUAUCCAAUAGGCUGAGACUUCUAAAUGAUACCAGUAUUGAUGGUGGUUUUGUGAUGUGGCCACCUGUGCCUUGGGAAUUGGACCGAGGCCGCCAACUAAUUUCACAUAGACCACCAACUAGCCAUUAGAGGAUUAAAGAAAUUUAAGAGAAAUUUCUGGCCCUAGUUCAGGGAAUAAUUUCAGAUUCUACCUGUGAAGUCAAUAGGACUUCAGUGUAUGCUUAAGUUAAUCAUGGGUUUUAAGUGUUAUGCUGAAUAGGGAUGGACUCCUGAAUUGGGGCCUUGGUAACUAUUGACCUUUACAGGAUUCACACCAGUGAGCUCGAGGUAAAAGUCUUCAUAAUCCAGUUACAACCCCCUUGAAACUUGCAGUCCCCAUUUUGACUCUGUGACACUAAGCACCCCCUGUAUCCACACCCCACAGAAUAGUGUCAUAUUCUUUGUACAAAAUAUGCCUUGUGAGGUACCAUUUGAAAAUUAGGCCUUUCUGGUUCUUUAUUUGUUUGAUUGAAGUAACAGUACUAGAAAUAUCUGAAUAUUAACUAAAAGGUGUAGCCUGACCCUUAGAAUCAGCAUGCAAGGGAGAUUGUACUAGCCAGAUGGAUGGUCCCGAGUGGUUUCUAAACCAGACAGCCUAUAUGGAAGGAGGUCAGGAGAAAGACAACUAUU